UAAUGGCGGAUGCACAGACAGACAGUGU
rnacentral:piRNA from 1 species